CUUUAGUCUUACACCAUUUAAAGUAGGUUUAGUAGAGUUUGGAAGUGCCAAAACGAGAAAAAAAAAUAGUAAGAAAGUGUGAAUAAACAUCAAUAGCUGGAGGGAAGCCUUCAGGACGAUGUGAAGUCGAAGAAGGAACUGGGAUGGGAAGCAUUUUGGACUAUGUGGAAAAAAAAACCCAGGUCUCUAGCAGGAGUUGGGAUGGAGGAUUCGAAGAAGGCAAGAACACGGCAGGAGUUAGGGUUUCAUUAUUUGGGAGGAGUUCUUCUACAGGUACACGGGAUGGGUAAACGGGGGGAAUCGGCAAUGCCAUGUCAGCCGGUUUAUCUUAAAAAAAAAGUGAGGCAAAAGCACGUAAUGAGAGUGAAAGUGUAAAAUGAAACUGGGAAAGAAGCCAUUACUCUGUUUUUGCUGAGGAAAGCUAGAUCGUCCAGAACACAAUCCAAACCAGCCGAAGAAAGCCACCAAAUCUGGGCUGGUGGUCGUCGUUGUGGGUGGCCGAAGCUGCGCCGGUAGUGAUCGUCGUCUCGUCGUCAUGGGGAUUUGGGUUAUUCUAAUAUCUGUGGCAGUUUAAAAAGUGCCCAAAUAAACAAAUAGAGACAGACGCGUAAGAGAAUCUAGUUUCGAAAGUCUCCAAAGAAACAAAUGCGAACCUUCAUCAAAGUCUCCACUAUCGGAGGCUAACAAGCUAUUCUUCACAAACUCGGAAUCCUCAAGCUUGGAAGGAGAAGUUCUUGCAGAGUUACCAUUUGAUCCAUCCUUUUUUUUGUUUUUUUGAUGAUUGUGAGACCCAAUGAACUUCAUCCUCAGCUUACUUGGAGAAA